rnacentral:rRNA from 1 species
AACGAACGCUGGCGGCAUGCCUACACAUGCAAGUCGCACGAGACCUUCGGGUCUAGUGGCGCCCGGGUGCGUAACGCGUGGGAACCUGCCCUUAGGUUCGGAAUAACUCCCCGAAAGGGGUGCUAAUACCGGAUAAUGUCUUCGGACCAAAGAUUUAUCGCCUUUGGAUGGGCCCGCGUUGGAUUAGCUAGUUGGUAGGGUAAAAGCCUACCAAGGCGACGAUCCAUAGCUGGUCUGAGAGGAUGAUCAGCCACACUGGGACUGAGACACGGCCCAGACUCCUACGGGAGGCAGCAGUGGGGAAUAUUGGACAAUGGGCGAAAGCCUGAUCCAGCAAUGCCGCGUGAGUGAUGAAGGCCUUAGGGUUGUAAAGCUCUUUUACCCGGGAUGAUAAUGACAGUACCGGGAGAAUAAGCUCCGGCUAACUCCGUG